GACGAACGCUGGCGGCGUGCUUAACACAUGCAAGUCGAACGGAAAGGCCCUGCUUUUGUGGGGUGCUCGAGUGGCGAACGGGUGAGUAACACGUGAGUAACCUGCCCUUGACUUUGGGAUAACUUCAGGAAACUGGGGCUAAUACCGGAUAGGAGCUCCUGCUGCAUGGUGGGGGUUGGAAAGUUUCGGCGGUUGGGGAUGGACUCGCGGCUUAUCAGCUUGUUGGUGGGGUAGUGGCUUACCAAGGCUUUGACGGGUAGCCGGCCUGGGAGGGUGACCGGCCACAUUGGGACUGAGAUACGGACCAGACUCCUACGGGAGGCAGCAGUGGGGAAUAUUGCACAAUGGGCGGAAGCCUGAUGCAGCGACGCCGCGUGCGGAAUGACGGCCUUCGGGUUGUGAACCGCUUUCGCCUGUGACGAAGCGUGAGUGACGGUAAUGGGUAAAGAAGCACCGGCUAACUACGUG
rnacentral:rRNA from 1 species